rnacentral:rRNA from 1 species
AUGAACGUUGGCGGCGUGUCUAAGGCAUGCAAGUCGAGCGAACCCGAUUUCGGUCGGGAAGCGGCAGACGGGAGAGUAACACAUUGGUAACCUACCUUCGAGACGGGGAUAGCCUUCCGAAAGGAAGAUUAAUACCCGAUAGCCAUGGGGGGACGUGAAGUCAUUCCCAUGUAAAGAUUUAUUACUCGGAGAGGGGCCUAUGUCUGAUUAGCUAGUUGGUAGGGUAAUGGCCUACCAAGGCUACGAUCAGUACCGGGCGUGAGAGCGUGACCCGGCUCACUGGGACUGAGAUACUGCCCAGACUCCUACGGGAGGCUGCAGUCAAGAAUAUUCCGCAAUGGACGAAAGUCUGACGGAGCGACGCCGCGUGCAGGAAGAAGCCCCUCGGGGUGUAAACUGCUUUUCUCAGGGAAGAAUUUGUGACGGUACCUGAGGAAUAAGAGGUUGCUAACUCUGU